CUACUAUGGAGAGUUUGAUCCUGGCUCAGGAUGAACGCUAGCGGCAGGCCUAACACAUGCAAGUCGAGCGGUAGGGGACUUCGGUCCCUG
rnacentral:rRNA from 1 species